GGAAGAUGCGAGCGUCAUCCGGAUUUAUUGGGUUUAAAGGGUGCGUAGGCGGCCCNUUAAGUCAGCGGUGAAANNCUGUGGCUCAACNGUAGAAUUGCCGNUGAAACUGNUNNNCUUGAGUAUGUUUGAGGCAUGCGGAAUGCGUGGUGUAGCGGUGAAAUGCAUAGAUAUCACGCAGAACCCCGAUUGCGAAGGCAGCCUGCUGAGCNAUGACUGACGCUGAUGCACGAAAGCGUGGGNAUCAAACAGGAUUAGAUACCCUGGUAGUCCACGCNGUAAACGAUGAUUACUANCUGUUUGCGAUANACUGUAAGCGGCACAGCGAAAGCGUUAAGUGAUCCACCUGGGGAGUACGCCGGCAACGGUGAAACUCAAAGG
rnacentral:rRNA from 1 species